rnacentral:misc_RNA from 1 species
GAUGAAGAACGUAGCGAAAUGCGAUACGUAAUGUGAAUUGCAAAUUCAGUGAAUCAUCGAGUCUUUGAACGCACAUUGCGCCCCCUGGUAUUCCGGGGGGCAUGCCUGUCCGAGCGUCAUUGCUGCCCUCAAGCACGGCUUGUGUGUUGGGCCCCGUCCUCCGAUCCCGGGGACGGGCCCGAAAGGCAGCGGCGGCACCGCGUCCGGUCCUCGAGCGUAUGGGGCUUUGUCACCCGCUCUGUAGGCCCGGCCGGCGCUUGCCGAUCAACCCAAAUUUUUAUCCAGGUUGACCUCGGAUCAGGUAGGGAUACCCGCUGAACUUAAGCAUAUCAAUAAGCGGAGGA